AAACGGCCGCGGUACCCUAACCGUGCAAAGGUAGCAUAAUCAUUUGCCUUUUAAUUGGAGGCUGGUAUGAAUGGUUUGACGAGAGCUAUGCUGUCUCUUUUGAAAUAUUUAAAAAUUAACUUUUAGGUAAAGAGGCCUAAAUUUAUUUAAGGGACAAGAAGACCCUGUUGAGCUUUAGUGAUCCUGUAAGUUUACAGGCAGCUUAAUAACUGUUGUAUUUUUGUGUAUUUAUAUAUAACAUAAGUUUGUAGGUAAUCUUUAGUUGGGGCGACUGAGGAACAUUAAAAGCUUCCUUGAAUUUAGUAAUAAGUUAAAUUAUUUAAUUUUUUGAUGCAUUUAUGUUAAUUUUGAUCCAAUUUAUUUUGAUUAAGAGAAAAAGUUACCACAGGGAUAACAGCGUAAUCUUUCUGGAGAGAUCUAAUCGAAAGAAGGGUUUGCGACCUCG
rnacentral:rRNA from 1 species